CAGGCCUAACACAUGCAAGUCGAGCGGCAGCAUCACCUUCGGGUGGAUGGCGAGCGGCGGACGGCUGAGUAACACGUAGGAAUGUACCCCAGAGUGAGGAAUAACUGCCCGAAAGGGUAGCUAAUGCCGCAUACGCACUUCGGUGUAAAGGCUUCGGCCGCUUUGGGAACAGCCUGCGUACGAUUAGAUAGUUGGUGAGGUAACGGCUCACCAAGUCGACGAUCGUUAGCUGGGAUGAGAGGAUGACCAGCCAGACUGGAACUGAGACACGGUCCAGACGCCUACGGGAGGCAGCAGUGAGGAAGCUUCCACAAUGGGCGAAAGCCUGAUGGAGCAACGCCGCGUGCAGGAUGAAGGCCUUCGGGUUGGAAACUGCUUUGAUGAGUGAAGAAGAUGACGGGAACGCAUGAAGAAGGGUCGGCUAACGACGUGCCAGCAGACGCGG
rnacentral:rRNA from 1 species